AUUGAACGCUGGCGGCAGGCCUAACACAUGCAAGUCGAGCGAGCGGCGGACGGGUGAGUAAUGUAUGGGGACUGCCCGGUAGAGGGGGAUAACUCCUGGAAACGGUAGCUAAUACCGCAUACUAUCGGAUAACCCAUAUGGGAUUAGCUAGUAGGUGAGGUAAUGGCUCACCUAGGCGACGAUCCCUAGCUGGUCUGAGAGGAUGAUCAGCCAAACUGGAACUGAGACACGGCCCAGACUCCUACGGAGGCAGCAGUGGGGAAUAUUGCACAAUGGGGGCAAGCCUGAUGUAGCCAUGCCGCGUGUAUGAAGAAGGCCCUAGGGUUGUAAAGUACUUUCAGUCGGGAGGCGUUACCGACAGAAGAAGCACCGGCUAACUCCGUGCCAGCAGCCGCGGUAAUAC
rnacentral:rRNA from 1 species